UAACGAGAGGCACCCUUGGGGUAUAAUGUUCUACAUCCCCUCCACUGCACACUUCCAGGUGUAAAUAAGUGUUAAUGAGCCAUAUUUCUUAAGGACACCAGCCUCCGCUGCGCCUCAAUCUUCCAGUGUGGUGUAGUGGUUAAGAGUGGUAGAUUCGUAAUCUGGGGAACCGGGUUCGUGUCUCCGUUCCUCCACAUGCAGCUGCAGGUGACCUUGGGCUAGUCACACUUCUUUGAAGCCUCCCAGCCCCACUCACCUCACAGAGUGUUUGUUAUGGGGGAGGAGGGGAAUGGAGAUUGUUAGACCCUUUGAGACUCCUUCGGGUAGUGAUAAAGCGGGAUAUCAAAUCCAAACUCUUCUUCUUCUUCAAACAGAAACACAAGCCGGGAACCCCUGAAUCUCCUCACACUGCUUGUGGAGAUUGUUGUGGCGUGUAACACGUGUAGACAACAUUGAAUGAGAUGGGCAACUGGUCCGGCUAGGCAGAAGGCAGCUUCCUCUGUUCCUAAUGUGUCACAGUGGGGCCAUGAAGCCUGCUAAUUAUUUGUUAAAAUCUCACUAUCGGCUGCCAUGGUGCUUGCAGCAAUACAACCACAUCCAUUUAAUGUAUCCUGUGAUAAAGACCCUGCCAGUUUAAUCACCACUGGGCAACACAGAUCAGAGCAGUGUAUAGAAACGGCUCUAAACAAUGGAGUAUUGGUGAGUAUUGUUGUGGGGAGAAAAAAAAUCCAUCCAAAUAGCAUCUGUGGGCAAACCUAUUCACAGCCCUUCACAGCUGCAGAUGGCUUGUUUUGCUAGGCUAAAUUCCCCAUUGUGAGUCAGAAGGCCCUUUCUUUGCUUCCUGCAGUUUAUCUGCUGAGCAUGAUAAAGAAAUCAAUUUUACUUUAGCAUUUUAAAUGGUCCAUUGCUGCUGUCUAAACCAGGUUUUCUUUAAUGAACGUCUAUCUGUCUUCUUACGUCCCGGGCAUGAUGUGAUUUAGAUUCUCAUUUGCACUUAAGUGCUUCUUUUUUGCUAUUUGUAACUUAGAGCCAGCCUUAUUAUACUCCUCCUUUAACUAACUGCCUUCCCUCCACACCCAGACAUUAUGAAACGCCAUAUUCAUACCCAAACCAAGGGGUGCAAACCUGUGGCUCUCCAAAUGUUGCUGAACUUGUUGAGUCGUGUCCGGCUCUUCAUGACCCCAUGGACCAGAGCACGCCAGGCACUCCUGUCUUCCACUGCCUCCCGCCAUAGCUGUCAACGUUUCCCUUUUUUAAAGGGAAAUCCCCUUCUUCCGAAUAGGAUUCCUCACAAGAAAAGGGAAAAGUUGACAGCUAUGCGUCCCACACACCCUAUAAGCCCCAGUCAGUGCUCCGUGCUCAGGAAGAUGGGAGAAACAUCCAGAGAGCCAUGGAACAAUUUGAAAUGUCUUUACCAGAAUAACUGAGGGGGCAGAUGCCAGCCAGAAGUGCCUUCCAGUUCCUCCAAAGCAACUUGGUUUAUCUCUCCAUUCAUUGUGGGGGGCCAAUUGAAACGGGUUCAGUUGUUCACCUACAGAAAAUAAUUAUGUAGGCUUUACAUCAGGUGGUUCCCUGUUGUUAGGACUACAGUUUUCAGCAUCCUUGACCGCAAUGGCUGGGUCUGAUGGAAACUGGGUUUUUGGAGGGUGUUGUGGUUGGGGGUGGAGAGUGCUCUGGCUUUUUGAGAAGGGAAGAGAGCUCAGAAGUGCCGUGACUUUUUGCCUUCUCUGUUUUGCUGCCCAUGGUGGAGCUUUUUGAAAUGAGGGAGAAGAUGGUGGAGCAAGCUUGUUUUCUCCUGCUGCAGAGGAUAAGACAUGAACCAAUGGAUUCAAGUUACAAGAAAGGAGAUUCUGACUGAAAACCAAGAAGAACUUUCUGAUAGUAAGAACUGUUCAACAGUAGAACGGUCUGUCUCAGAUCCUUGGAGGAUUUUAAGCAGAGGUUGGGUGGCCAUCUUCUUUUUUUUGUUUUGUUUUUUAAAGUUUUUAUUGUUAAAAUAAUUCAUACACAUAUAAUACAAAUAUACAAGCAUACAAACAUACAUUUCAUACAAUCCUUAAAAGUGUUCAAACAUACUUACACUCAAUCCCACAGAUAAUUCCUUUUCCCAUCACCAUCCACCACCCCUCACACCACCUUUGUGUUAGACUUCCAAUCUACUCAAUUGCAAUUUCUUUCCACUUCUAUUACUUUCUUUUACACACCUUUAACCUAAUUUCAUACUUCUUUUUCUUUUACACAUUGUUAUCCAUCUUAUUUAGUAUUUCAGUAUUUGAAACGGAACUUGUUUAUUCUAAUAGGAGUUCUGAUUUUUCAAUAUGAUUUUGCAAGUAUCUUUUAAACACCUUCCAGUCCCUAUCUAUCUUCUCUUUUGAGAGCCUUCCAAUUUCUCCCAUUGUUUUGGAUAUAUUGUAGUACUCCAAUAAUUUGGCAAGCCACUCUAUUUUUGUCGGUACAAUACCACUUUUCCAGUUUUUCGCAAUCAAUAGCCUUGCGGCUACUGUUGCGUAUAAAUAUAAGGUCUUGUCUUCUUCCUUUAGGCUUCCUGGUACUAUUCCCAAUAAAAAACCUUCUGGUGUUUUCCUAAAUGAAUAUCUGAACAUUUUUUUCAUUUCAUUAUAUAUUGUUUCCCAAAAUUGUUUGAUGUUUGAACAAUUCCACCAUAUAUGUAUCAUAGUACCUUUUCCAGUGUUGCAUCGCCAGCAGACAUUGCUACAAUUUUUAUUUAUUUUUGCUAUUCUUUCAGGUGUUAAAUACCAUCUAUGUUGUAUUUUGAGGUAAUUUUCUUUCAAUAUAUAACACAGUGAAUUUCAUAUCUUCUUUCCACAAUUUUCCCCAUUGUUCAAACAUAAUAUUUUUCCCAAUAUCUUGCGCCCAUUUAAUCAUUGAUGCUUUAACCAAUUCAUCCUUUUGAUUUUUUGAUUUUUCUUGUAUUAAGUAUUUAUACAAGUAUUUAUAUAUUUAUUUUGAUAUUUCUUUUUCAAAUCCUAACUUUUUGUCUUUCGCUAAUCUGUACUUAAUUUUAAUAUAUUGGAACCAAUCACUAAUAUGAGCUUUAAUUUCUGUAUAAUCCUUUAAUUCCAAUUCUCCGUUUUCUUCCUUUAAUACAAUUUUAUAGGUAGCCCAAUUUUCUUUCAUAUUUAAUUUUUUCACUGCAACAAUUUCUGCCGACGAUGCGGGUGGCCAUCUUCUUUCUGAACGUAGGAGAAGUUCAAACUCCUUCAACCUAUAGUAACGAGUAACGUGCAUGAGGUUACUCAGGAAACUAGGGAAUGCCUCCCCCCCCACACACAAAAAUGAGGUCCCCAAAUUAUCACCUUAAGUGUUUCUGCUUCAUUUUUGGUUCAGUUUCUCCCCCAGCUAUUCUGUCACAAGACAGUUUCCAGGCUGAAAGGGAUAAUGAAAAACAGCAUGUAGUGGGGCAGAAAAACCCCUAAUGGAAAAUGAUAAUGGGAUCACAUGGCCAGCGUUCCCUGCAUUAGGACGCUGAGCUCAUUUUGAAAAGGACAGAGCGCGUGUGAACUUGUCAACAAUUCAUCAGAUGCAACAGGGGGAAAAAACCCUCCUGAGAGCUGUAAUUUGGGCACUUUAGGAAAACACCAUCAAAGCCAUGCUGACAAGAGGCUUUUUAGUAAACUUGUUAAUUAUAAUGCAUUAUUAGCUAACCCUACUCCGGGAAAAUUGUUUGAAUGUUAAGCUAAAGUAUUAGCCAUUUAGCUAAUAUGUGCAGCUUGGUCUCUGGGACUGUCUUAGUGAUUAGUAAGUUAGUCAAAGUAUACCGUUGAGAGGCCCAAAACGACGGCCAGAUCAUCUGUAUCCCAGGAACAAAUUUUAGCUGGGAACUUCAUUGAGCGGACAGAGAUAAAGUCCAGGCGUUUUAAUUGCCAGAUGGGAGUGGUGGAAAGCUGUAGUUAACAUGUUGCUUUGCUGAAUCUGUGCAAACCUAGGGAUUGGAGACUUUUAAACACUAAACUUAACAAUAUUAUGUCCACAAUAGCUUGGCCUAAUGAACUCCAUUCACCCUUGCAAAAACUCUUCUGAGCACGCAGAGGGUUAAAACAACAAAAAAGAUAAGAGAGUGCCUAUACCUUUGAUCCUGCAACCCCAAAUUAAGGGUAACCAUAUUCAUUUAUUCAGUUAUAGCUUGCCCUUCCUUCGGGGAGCUUGGGACAACAUGCAUGGUUCUCUUACCUGCUGCUUUAUCUUUACAACAACUCUGUGAGGCAGGUUAGGUCAAUUAGACAGUGACUGGCCAACAUCCCUUCACCCACCCGAGAAAGCUGAGUGAGGAUUUGAACCCAGUUCUCUUGAUGCCAGCGCUCUAACCACUACACCAUGCUGGCACUCAUUGCAAGAGCAUUUGUCUCUGGAGCAAAAUCCACCGUGUCUGGGAAGGGUUUGUAUCUUAUAACACGUUAGGGCUGCAAUAUUUGCUUGGUUAAUCAGUUAAUAAAUCAAGAGCCUUUAGACUGAUGGAAAAGCUAUGCCUGAUUAACCUGGCAAUGCAUGUUAAAAAAUGUGUAUACACUAACGGUUGGCUUCUUCUAAAUCCUACAUGUUUUCUCCAAGGAAUUCAGAGCGAAAUUCACAAUAAUCGGGGCUGGAGCCAGGUUUGAUGGGUCCUUGGGAAAGAUGCCUUCUGGUGGAACAUCCUCCCCUCACACCCAGCACUUCCCUGAUGGUCCAUGGAAGCUUACCAAGCAGUGGCGUAGGGUGGGUUGCCAGUGCCCAGGGCUGCGCCGAGGGGGUUGGUGAGAGAAAAACAGACGAAGUACACAUGCACAUUCAACUGCCUAAGGGCGUCUUGUGUCACCCAGGAGAUGACAGCCGCAGAGAUAAGAAGAGUCAUUCUGUUUCCUAGAGAGGUCACUUCCUGGUUUGCAUGGGGAAGCCAUUUUCAAUGGAGCAGAAGCACACAGCUGUGCUGAGGCAACACUGGGUGCUAUGCCUGGGGCAACUGCCCCUCUGCCUCCCAUGCUAUGCCACCAUUACCAAGGAUGAGUGUUGAGCAGCAAGGGAGAUGAGCUACAGCAUUGAAAGCAGUGCAGCUCAAGCUGCCCAGUUGAACCCAAUCCAGUGAAGCAGGGGGUGGAGACUGGAUCUGGCUGGUGUGAACCCAAGCCCCAUCACUCACACCCAUGCCACACCCACAGCUUUUGGCCAAGUCAUAUAUUGACCUUACCCCACAACCUGGCAGCACCAAUGAUUCAAUGCUGCGCCCUCAAAGUUGGGUGGCCAUGUGUCCUACUUUGCAGAGGACAGGCCUCUAUAUGAAGGCCUGCCCGGUCCAACAAUAACCCUAGGAAGAGAGAGCGGAAGUGCCUUCAGGUUAAGAACAUAAAAGCCCGGCUGGAUCAGGCCAAAGACUUAUCUAGUCCAGCACCCUGUUUUCACAGUGGCUGGUCAGGUAGCCAUUUGAAGCUCCAAAGCAGGAGCUGAGCACAAUUGUACUCUGCUCUCCUGAGGUUUCCAGCAACUGGCAUUCAAAAGCAUGUUGCCUCCGGCAGUGGAGGCCAAACAUAGCCAUUGUGGCUUGUAGCCAUGGCUAGCCUCAUUCUCCAUGAAGCCCCCACCAACACUUAGUACCUGGACCUCAGACCAAGCAGGCACCCUUGUCACCUGGUCAGAAUCUUCCCCAGUAUGGCGAGAUGUCUCUCCCCCCACCCCUAUCCUAGUCUGGAUCUGUACUGGAUUUGGAAUUGUUUAUAUACGAAAUUGUUCCAGUUUGGUUUAUAUUAAAUUGUUCCCAUGUGAGCCGAUUGGAUCCAUCAUGGCACAUUUGAUUAAACAACUAUCAAGCGACAGCUCUGGUUUAUUUUAUGAAAUAUUAGCCUAUUUAUUGCUGGUGCUGCUGUUCUUUUUGCUGCUGCUGCUGCUGCUGUUUUCAGUUUGAUAAUUUGGGCUUUUAUGGUUGGUUGCUUUUCUCUUUAUAAGCUGCUUUGAACAACUCCUUUGCAGGUGGAAAAAGAGGAGUACAAAUUUUUUAAUUGGUAAGAUGGGGAAAAAAUGAAACAUUGCAAAGAAGAGAAAGAGGAGAGAUAUUAGUUAUGAUAUUUAAAUGUAACAGUGAAAGUAAGAAAUGUAAAUUAAGUGGAAAAGGUUGGAAAAUUUUCAGAUGUGAUUGACGGAAGUCAAAAUAAUUGUAUAAGAUAUAAAAGUAUGUUUAAUAAUUGUUGAAAAUGUUAUGCUAAAAAAGCCUAAUAAAAAUUAUAUU